AUUAUUUUCCAAAAAUAAAAAAUUAGGGUGAUCAAUACAUAGAAGAUUAGCAUGACCCUUGUGCAAGGAUGACACACACAAAUCGAGAAAUGGUCCAAAUUUUU